rnacentral:rRNA from 1 species
CUUCGGGUUGUAAAGCACUUUCAGUCGUGAGGAAGGUAGUGUAGUUAAUAGCUGCAUUAUUUGACGUUAGCGACAGAAGAAGCACCGGCUAACUCCGUGCCAGCAGCCGCGGUAAUACGGAGGGUGCGAGCGUUAAUCGGAAUUACUGGGCGUAAAGCGCAUGCAGGUGGUUUGUUAAGUCAGAUGUGAAAGCCCGGGGCUCAACCUCGGAAUAGCAUUUGAAACUGGCAGACUAGAGUACUGUAGAGGGGGGUAGAAUUUCAGGUGUAGCGGUGAAAUGCGUAGAGAUCUGAAGGAAUACCGGUGGCGAAGGCGGCCCCCUGGACAGAUACUGACACUCAGAUGCGAAAGCGUGGGGAGCAAACAGGAUUAGAUACCCUGGUAGUCCACGCCGUAAACGAUGUCUACUUGGAGGUUGUGGCCUUGAGCCGUGGCUUUCGGAGCUAACGCGUUAAGUAGACCGCCUGGGGAGUACGGUCGCAAGAUUAAAACUCAAAUGAAUUGACGGGGGCCCGCACAAGCGGUGGAGCAUGUGGUUUAAUUCGAUGCAACGCGAAGAACCUUACCUACUCUUGACAUCCAGAGAACUUUCCAGAGAGGAUUGGUGC